AUUUAUUCGGUAUUUUUAAUAAUUAAAAACUAAUUUUUUCUAUUUAUUUAAUUAAAAUAAUUAAUUUUCAGAAAAUAAAUUAAUUAAAAUGCAUUGUCUGUCGCUAAAGACCACCUAUAGUGACAUAACUGUUGUUAUAGGUGUUCUUCAUGUUCUUCAUGCAUUCAUAAGGCAGUUUCGUGGGUGCUACUUUGACCAAGAAUUGUGCACGGUGUAAUGUGUUUCUAGGCAGGAUGUUGAGCAGAUCGUGUAGUAAUAGUGUCAUAAUACAUGAUCCAAGAACAACCAUGAGCAAAACAUGCAUCAAUCGAAAGAUCUAAGCCAAUUAAAACACUGUCAGAGCUGUUCUUUAUUUUCUAGGUUACCCAGAAAUGAAUAACAUUUCUUAUAGUCAUAUUUGGGCUUCCACUACUUGUUGUACAUGUGAGGUAUUAGUGAUCUAAAGCUUGAAGUGUGUAACCAACAUGUACAUAAAGAGAUUCAUUACUUAACCUCACUAUAAAAAUAACAGAAUCGCUAGAUAUCGAACGGUCAAAGGAUGUCAGACGACACGUUCAUCUGUUUUCUGGGCUACCCAGAAAACAGAAAACGUGCUCGUGGUACCUACUUUGACCAGACUCUGUGCUCAUAAUAUUUGAUGUUUAGGUGAUCUUAAGGCAUUAUAUUGUAGAUCAUAUUACCUACUACAACAUAGAUUCAACACAAACAAUAAAUCGACAAACAACUUGAAGAUCAGAGCCCAAGAACAUCUUGUCAGACGUUUCUGGGCACGAUCUGGGUUUUCCAGAAAUCCGAUAGUCAUGGUCGGUCAAUGAGGUUUGAACACCCGUAACUUUCAUUGUGUGAACGAUCUGGGCUAGAUUAAAGUUCCAGAAUACAGACCACCUGACAUAUUAUACUUAUCAACACUCAAAACACAAAAAUCAAACACAGAAAUAGAUCUACCGGGUCUGACAUUAGUUAUCAGACAACACCAAAUUUUUUCCCAGAUUUUCUUAAAAUGCCAAAUCCUAGCCUCUAGAUGUUAUGGAUCUAACAUCUAGCAACCCAGAUCAUCUUUAUACACUACAAAUAACAUAUUCUAACACUCAAUCAUAACAUUUAACAACAGAUCGAUGGACAGAUUUCUUGGCUAGGGUUUAUACCUUAUUUGAUCAAUUUUGAUUUAUGGCUUCUGAUUUGUUAUGGUUGAUCGCGGGGCUUUGAUUUGGGACUGAUUUACAAGUUGAAUUCGUAUGUUAGAGAGAGGGGGACUUGAUGGAGUGUAGGUGAGUAAAUGAGCAAAAUGUACACUUUUUCUCUCUCCAAUUCUAUUUAUAAUGCUUGUAUACAUUGUAUGUUGCUGAUCUAGUGGCUGAUCUGCUGAGAUUUUGAGCAUGUGGG
rnacentral:lncRNA from 1 species